UACGGGGGGGCGGAAGCGUUGUUCGGAAUUACUGGGCGUAAAGGGCGCGUAGGCGGCCUGCUAAGUCACACGUGAAAUCCCUCGGCUCAACCGGGGAACUGCGUGUGAUACUGGCGGGCUUGAAUUCGGGAGAGGGAUGUGGAAUUCCAGGUGUAGCGGUGAAAUGCGUAGAUAUCUGGAGGAACACCGGUGGCGAAGGCGGCAUCCUGGACCAACACUGACGCUGAGGAGCGAAAGCCAGGGGAGCAAACGGG
rnacentral:rRNA from 1 species